rnacentral:lncRNA from 1 species
CUUGAACCUUUUCUUCCCAUUUGAUAACAUAACUAUCAAAAGAUUCAUGUCAAACACCUUUUGUAUGAACUUUUUGUGGAUCUUCACAUUGCCGCCUUCUUAUAAAUUAUUGGUCUCCCAUUCAAGUUCAUAAGGUGAGAAUUUUUUCGUAUCUUCAAUCAAUUGGGUUACUAGAUUGAGCUAAGAAAAAGGUAAACAUUUUCAAAAAAUAAAUCUAUUUCAAUUAAUUGACUCAAAUAUUCUAGUUUGUAGCUGCUAAUUGAGUUUCUAGGUUAGGAAAAUUUGCAAAUAGAUUAGGGUUUUUAGAUCAAUUAAUCGAUACAUUGUUUUUAGUUAAUUCAAUUUUAUUAGUUAGAAUGUAUAUUUAUUUGUUCAAUUAAAGGAAUAAAUUUAUUUUAUAAGAGAUCAUUACAAAUUUAUUAUUAAAUUAGGAUAUUUAACCAAUUUUGUGAAAAUAGUAGGUAUUGAUUUCUUUGUUGAUUAAAUAAAUUAAUUGAAUUAGAUCCAAUUUACUAAUUUUUUUAAAUCUAAAAAAAUAUUAUUUUGGAAGAUUAAUCAUUAUAUCUAUAAUUUAAUUUAUAUAUAUAUAUAUAUAUAUAUAUAUAUAUAUAUAUAAUUGGGUAUUAUGAAGUUCUCAAACCUAAUUUCAUGUUUUUAAGUUUUGAUCUUUGAUCCUAGAAGUUACAUCUCAAUUUAAUUUUAUUUAGAUUAUAUUUUUUUUUUGUUAAAUUUUAAUUAUUAGUUGUUUAGAAUGAUUAAUUUAGAGUUUAGUGUUUAUUUGGUUUAUUUUGAAUGUCCAUGAAUUUGUAUGAAUGGAGGCUAGAAAUAUUGAUGAAAUUGAAUUCAUUUUUAUUAAUCAAGUGGAAUAAUUGGCUUGUGAUUGAUUAAGAGUGUGGCCCAUUUGAUUAAGGGUUUUCGCUUGGCACUGGAUUAAACUAUUUUGAGCAUUGUCAAGACUCAAGGAUCUUACUUAUUUGUAAUAGUUCAUAAGAAUGUUUAACGUUUGAUUGAGCUUGUAAACUUUUUUUGUUAGAUCAUUCAAGUACAAGAAUGUUGUUUGAAUAAUUGAACCAAGUUCUCUUUAUUUUUGUUAUUUUCUUCCAUAAAUAAGAAUAAUCAUGCUAGCUUUAAUAAGUAGAAAAAAAAUUACCUUAUUCAAUUUUUUUUUAUUUUUUUUAAUAAAGGGUAAUGCAUGCAUUUUAUAAGAAGUGAGAAUGAUUUUGUUGGAAUUUGCCAUUACAGCCUCCAUUACUAUAAAUGCUUGUUUUAAGAGAGCUAUCUUACUUUAAUACCAUUUUUGUGAAGUUUGAGAAACUAGAGAGAGAAUUGAGAGUUAAUUCAUGAACUUCCUUGGUGAAGAUAGAAAAUUUUGUGGAAUUUCUCAUCUCAUAAUUAUGUUGUUAGCCUGAUCUAAUUAAGAAGUAAAUUUUCAAAUACAAUCAAUGAAUAAAGACAUGUACUUUUAGUUUGUGGUAAUUAACUAAACUUCUAGGAUUUUUUUUUUAAACUAAAUUUGGGUCUUCUAGCUAUAGAUGGAUAUAUCAAUAGGCUUCUUGAAUUUUAUGAAUUAAAAUUUAAUUCAAAUGAAUAAAAUUGUGUAUUAUUUCAUUUAGGAAAUGAUUAGGAAAUAAUUAAAUUGAUGUUAUGAAAUGUAAACGCUUGUUUUGUUAAAUUGCACGAAUUUGAUUGAUUUGUGAAGAAUACAUAUUAUUAUGCAAUUUGAAGAUAUAAACCCUAAUUCCGAGUUUUGAAUUAAUCUCACUUUCAUAUUUAUUGUUAAUUUAAAAAUGUAAAUGGUUUAAUUAAGGCUUCAAUCCCAUCAAUAUAUAUAUGUUCAUGAAUUAUGGAGGGUCUUUACGAAAAUGUUUAAUUGAGUAAAACUAGGGACUAAUUAUGUAAGCCUAAUCACAUUCUUUGUUGUAUUUAUCUUCUUAACUUAUCAUAUAUUGUUCUUAUAUUGAUUACGAAAAAUUGUUUAUUUUCUUUCUUAUUGCUUUGUGGAUUCAAUUUCUUUUCUAUUAAUUACAAUAUUCAUUUCUUUUAAUUGUUGAUGGAAGGUUUCCAUUGAUUGUUACUUGUCUUCAAAUUGAUAAAUGAUAGUUUUUUCUUUAUUUUUUUCAUUCGCUCAUGUACAGAGUAUAUAUAGAGGGUAAUCACCAUUCUAAGAAUGGGAAAGAAUGAUGCAAGGAAAUAACAACUAAUAUCCUAAUAUCUCAACUUUCCUAAUAUCUCAAUAUUCCUAAUAUCUCAAUAUUCAUAAUAUCUCAAUUUUCCUAAUAUCUAAACAUUCCUAAUAUCUCAACACUAAAUGAUAUAAGGAAAGAAUGAUAUAAGGAAAACAUUCCUAAUAUCUCAACACUCCCCCUCAAGUUGGUGCAUAGAUGUCACACAUGCCCAACUUGUCUAAAAAUUUUGAGAACACUUGACUUGAGACAAAUUUGGUGAGGAUAUCAGCCAAUUGAUUUUCUGAUCGAAUCUUAGGCAAUUCCACAAUCUUAUCAUCCAACUUUUCCUUAAUGAAGAAUCUAUCCACCUCGACAUGCUUUGUACGAUCAUGUUGUACUGGAUUAUGAGCAAUGUCACAUGCGGCUUUAUUGUCACAAAACAAUCGGAUUGGUUGCCUAAAUAGGUAACCUAAAUCCUGUAAGAGGAGUCUUAGCCAUAAUGCCUCACAAAGUCCUAGAGUCAUACCUCUAAAUUCCGUUUCUGCACUUGAACGGGCGACGACAUUUUGCUUCUUACUUUUCCAUGUCACAAGAUUACCACCUACAAAAGUAAAGUAACCAGAUGUAGAUCGCCUAUCAUCCACUGCACCGGCCCAAUCAGCAUCAGUAUAUACUUCUAUACUCUGAUGAUCAACAUUUUUAGCGAACAAAAUUCCCUUCCUAGGAGCAUUCUUCAAAUACCUCAAAAUACGCAUGACUGCAUUCAUAUGUUGCUCUCCAGGAUUAUGCAUGUAUUGACUCACUACACUCAAUGCAUAAGCAAGAUCUGGUCUUGUAUGAGCUAAGUACAUUAAUCUCCCCACAAGUCUCUGGUAUCUUUCCUUAUCGGUUGAUACUUGAUUAGGCUCAACACACAAUUUCAGGCCUUCUUCUAUUGGUGUAUUGACAGGUUGACAUCCCGACAUUCCAGUUUCUUGUAAAAGAUCUAAGACAUACUUUCUUUGAGAUAGAAAAAUUCCUUCACUUGAUCGAGAAACUUCAAUCCCAAGAAAGUAUUUCAGAUGACCUAGAUCUUUCAUUUUGAAUUCUCUAGAUAGAUAAUUUUGCAGAGUUUUUCUUUCUUCAGGAUCAUUUCCUGUAACUACCAUGUCAUCCACAUAUACGAUGAGUGUCGUAAUCUUACCAUGUUGCUUUUUCAGGAACAAAGUGUGAUCUGAAUUACUUUGACGAUAGCCAAAAGCUCUCAUUGACUUUGUGAACCUUCCAAACCAUGUUCUCGGGGAUUACUUCAACUCAUACAAUGACUUCUUCAAUUUGCACACCUUCUGACAUUGUUUUUCUAACACCAUGCAUCUUAGUGGAAGAUCCAUGUAUACUUCUUCAGAUAACUCGCCAUGCAGAAAGACAUUUUUCACAUCGAACUGUUGUAAUGGCCAAUCUAGGUUUGCAGCUAAAGAUAGUAAUACUCGAACUGUGUUGAUCUUAGCUACAGGUGCAGAUGUCUCUGUGUAGUCAAUUCCAUAAGUUUGAGUGUACCCUUUUGCUACUAGUCUUGCUUUAAAUCGUUCAAUACUACCAUCUACCUUGUACUUCAUAGUAUAGAUCCAACGACACCCAACUGGCUUCUUUCCUGGUGGACAUUCUAAGAGUUCCUAUGUUUCAUUCUUCUGCAAUGAUUUCAUCUCUUCAUUCAUGGCUGCUUUCCACCUUGGAUCAGUUAAGGCUUCCUGCACACUGUUAGGAAUAGCUACAAUAGAUAAUUGAUUUACAAAUGACUUAUUUGAUUCAGAAAAACAAUGGUUAGACACAUAGUUGCUCAUGAGAUAUUUGACUUUGGUAGACAAUUCAGGUUCAUAUGUGGGUUUAGGAAUACCUCUAUUAUGACGGUGUGGUAACUAUUUCAUGAAUGGAUCAGGUUCCAAAUUAAGAACACCCUUAGCAGACGACGAUUGGUUUGGUAUUUCAGUGAAGACAUCUUCGGACCCAAAUUGUUGACCACUCAUAUCCAACUCACCCGCUUCCUGAUUCACUAGUUCAGAUUUUCCAGAUUCAUCCUCCUCAUAGAUAUGAUAAUCAUAAUCGAGAGUCNNNNNNNNNNNNNNNNNNNNNNNNNNNNNNNNNNNNNNNNNNNNNNNNNNNNNNNNNNNNNNNNNNNNNNNNNNNNNNNNNNNNNNNNNNNNNNNNNNNNUUUCCUUAUGGUACUCCCCCUGAAGUUCAGACUCAGAUGAAAAAUACAUUGAAUCUUCAUGAAACACCACAUCCAUUGUAAUAAACAUUCGUCGAGUUGGAGGAUGGUAACAUCGAUAUCCCUUUUUGUGCAAUGCAUAUCCAACAAACACACAUUGCAAUGCAUGAGAAGUUAACUUGGUGCGUUGGUGUUUGUGUAGAUGCACAAAUGCCAUGCAACCAAAAACACGAGGAGGUAGAUUUGGGACGGUUGGGGCAACUAUGACAUUAGUAAGAGCUUGGAGAGGUGUUUGGAAGUUAAUUGGGCUAGAAGGUACCCGAUUGAUCAAGUAUGUGGUAGAUGUGAUUGCUUCUCCCCAAUAAGAUAUCGGUAUUUUUGCUACUAUCAAGGAAGCACGAACAACCUCUAACAAGUGCCGAUUUUUCCGUUCAGCGACUCCAUUUUGCUGGGGUGUAUUGGAACAAGUAGUUUGAUGAAUGAUGUCAUGUUCUUCCAAAUACUUUUGAAGAUCAGAACUCUGAUAUUCUCCACCAUUAUCACUAUGCAAAACCCGAACCUUUGCAUUGUACUGAGUUUCAAUCAUUUUAUGAAAAUUUUGAAACAACAAGUUCACUUCAUCUUUGGUCUUCAUCAAGCAUAAUCAUGUCAUUCUGGUACAAUCAUCAAUAAAAGUAACAAACCAACGUGAGCCACUCAAAGUUGGGACUUUGGAUGGGCCCCAAACAUCAGAAUGUAUAACCAUAAAAGGAAACGGACUUUUAUUCAAAAUUAACGGAAAUGAAGCACGAUGACUUUUAGCCAAUUCACAAAUAUCACAACGGAAACCAGAAAUAUCACUCUUUGCAAACAAACUAGGAAACAAUUUUUUUAAAUAACCAAAGGAAGCAUGUCCCAGACGUCGAUGCCACAACCAAAUUUUAGACUUUUUCUCCUCCUCCUCAGAUCCAUCUGUCAUCAAGGCUUGUUGCAACUUAUUUGAAUCCUUUGACUGCAAGUCCAAGUAAUAGAGUUUCCCCCGCUUAAUACCACAACCAAUCGUCUGUCUUGUUUGGAUGUCCUUAAUCACACAAAAUUCAGGCCAAAAAUGACAAUACAAGAUAAGGCUGCAGUAAUUUGAGAAACUGACAAAAGAUUGUAAUCUAGAGAUGGAACAACUAAAACAGAAUCCAAAUUCAAAGUAUUAGUAAGAGUUAAGGAUCCUUCCCCAAUGACUGGGGUUGUGUUACCAUUGGCUGUGGAAACAAUUUUUUGUGAGGAAGGUCUAAGGGGUGAAACCUGUCUAGAAUCAAAAGUCAUAUGAUCUGUAGCACCAGAAUCAAUUAUCCAUGCACUAUUAAUAACAGGUGUAAAAGUAUUUAAAAACUUACCACCAUGAUCUGUAGCGGCUACCAAUGUAGAGGCUUUCUCAGCAACAUUAGCCUUUGUUUUUAUUUCGGCAACAGUUGUAGUCAAGGUUUUCUUGGAAUCCUUCUUCCGUUGAUCACGAUUAUUAUCAUUAAUAACAAAGUGGUGAUAGCCUAAUCAUGAUCUAAAGGUCCAUGGUUCAAACCCUCGGUUCCUCGUUGUUUUCUUGGUCAUACCAAGAGUCGUUGCUUUGAAAUUGUGGGAUAUCCAGACUGGUGGGAUCAGUCUUAUUGCAGUCAGUGCAUUUGAAGGUUGACUUAUCAAUAUUAGGGCUUGUCUUAGGAUGGUUGAUCGCUGUCGGACUACCAUAGCGACAAAAUAUCCAUGAUUUCAAUUUCAUGGCUUUGAUACCAUCUUCAAAUUGAUAAAUAAUAGUUUUUUCAUUAAUUUUUUCAUUCGCUCAUGUACAGAGUAUAUAUAGAGGGUAAUCACCAUUCUAAGAAUGGGAAAGAAUGAUACAAGGAAAGAAUGAUAUAAGGAAAUAACAACUAAUAUCCUAAUAUCUCAACUUUCCUAAUAUCUCAAUAUUCCUAAUAUCUCAAUAUUCAUAAUAUCUCAAUUUUCCUAAUAUCUAAACAUUCCUAAUAUCUCAACACUAAAUGAUAUAAGGAAAACAUUCUUAAUAUCUCAACAACUUGUUUAACAGUUCUAUAUAGGAAUUUUUUUCUUGAGUCUAUAGGAAAUUUUUUUAUAAUAGUAUUCAUGUCAAUGUGUAAGCUCUAUUACUGUUCAGAUUCUUCUCAUCUAAUCAAGUAUAAUUGAUCUUCAUAGCUAAUAUCAAAUGAUUUUUCUUGGAUUGUAAGGGUCUCGAAAAGAUCCACGCUGGUGAAGAAUGUAUACUUGAAAUUUACACACCGCAAUGGAGAAAAUAAACACUCACGAUUGAAUCAAUGAUUUAGCAAAACAUACUACUCUAUGACAUGGGGAUAUUCAUACAUGACUAUUCAAUGAGUUUUGGAGACAAUAAUAUAAUCCAAGACAAAGAAAAUAUACAAAAAAAUCAAGUGCAUGGUUUAUUAAUUCAAAUGUUGUUGCAUAAGUAGAAAUCUGACAGAUUUAAUGAAAUCUUGGUUCAUGCUUUCAUGCAGAAGUGACAGAUCCACUCUCCUUUGAUAUCUCGCCCAGCCAAGAUAUUACCUUCCGUGGCCAAUGCUCUAGUCUCUUGAAGCAUGUAGGAAGAAAAACCUUAUAUGCCUUCCCAAUGUCAUCAUAUAUGACAUUAAUUAGGAUAGGGAUCUCCUGCAAUACUUCAAUCUUGUCUAUGGCAGGUUGGGGAGAAGGUAGUUUCUGGGAGGAAGAGGAAUCAAACAUAUGUUUGGGUCUGCAUCACUUUCCUGAAGUACUUUCCUUACUCGCCAUGGAACAUGUGGUUGAUCGUCAUAUCCUCCAUUUCAAGUGCAAGUAUAUUUAGAUCAAUUUUGCUUUAUCACCAGCAUUUUCCAUAAUAUUUUUUUUAAUUGUUAUUUGGAAUUAAUUGUUAGCUGUUGUAUGAAUGUAGAGGUUAUUAAAUUUUCCUUAAAUUUUGAUCACAGUGGAUGCUGGGAGGGUUCUGGAGCAGUGAUUCAAACAGUGGAUUAGUCCCUAGUUAUAGCAUGGUGAGAGAUAGCAGAAAUGAAGAAUUUGAAACUUGGACAUGGAGGAUCGGGUUUGGAUACCAAAGAAAAUACCAAUUUCCAACUAUCAAGUUCUCGGUUAAAUGAAGAAAGUGGAUGUGGAGAAACCCGGAUAUCAAGAUCUUGAGCCACUUAACCUUUUUGGUUGAACCAUCAUUAUAUUAGACCAUAGGACUUUCUUCUUCUUUCUUUCUUUUAUUUUUUUUUCAAUGAAUUGAUUAGCUUCCCUACUGUAUAUGCGCUCUUUAUUGGAUAUUUGAAUUAGCUCUUUGUUGUGCAACUAACUUCAAUCUAGAAAUAUACUCAUUCCUCAUGCCAUUUGAAGAAAUAAUCUUACAUGACUUCCUCAAACAAAGGAAAGUUCCAUGGAAGGUAAUUUAUCAAUCAGAUCUAUC